AUGCCUACAUGGGCAAAAGCAAUGCUUGGUAUAGGUGGUGUGGCGGGUGUGGUUGGAGUUCUGUGCCUUGUGUAUUUCAAGUAUUUCAAGAAACGCUCAGACCAUGAAAAGGUUGAAAAAAAGGACGAGGAUGGAUUAUAACUCCCUCACAUACCUGGUAAGGACCAUGGGAACUAUGCAGCUUUCUCGAAGACAAAAAGUCUUCUCCUACUUCCUCCUUGUAACGUCACAAAAGAGUUUCUGAACAUCAUACAAGCCAUCAUUGCCAUUUAAAUAUCCCAAAAUAUAAAAAUUUCAGAACAAGUCAGUUAAGACUUUAGGAUUGUGGAGGAUUUUUGAGUUUUGAAGGUUCUUCCUCAUCAUGUAUUUAGCAUAUCCAUACAUGCAUAUGCAUAUUGUCAUUUAUUCAUCAACUACCCCG
rnacentral:lncRNA from 1 species